ACGUAGGGAGCAAGCGUUGUCCGGAAUUACUGGGCGUAAAGGGUGCGUAGGCGGCAUGGCAAGUCAGAUGUGAAAUCCCCGGGCUUAACUCGGGGGGUGCAGUGGAAACUGCUUUGCAGGAGUGCAAGAGAGGAAAGAGGAAUUCCUUGUGUAGCGGUGAAAUGCGGAGAUGGUAGGAGGAACAAGAGGGGCGAAGGGGGUAUGGUAGGCUGCAACUGAAACUCAGGCACGAAAGCCUGGGGAGCGAACAG
rnacentral:rRNA from 1 species